UGCCAGCAGCCGCGGUAAUACGAAGGGUGCUAGCGUUGUUCGGAAUUACUGGGCGUAAAGAGCAUGUAGGCGGAUGAAUUAGUCAGAGGUGAAAGCCCCGAGCUCAACUCGGGAACUGCCUUUGAUACUGUUCAUCUUGAGUCCGAGAGAGGGUAGUGGAAUUCCCAGUGUAGAGGUGAAAUUCGUAGAUAUUGGGAAGAACACCAGUGGCGAAGGCGGCUACCUGGCACAUUUCUGACGCUGAGGCGCGAAAGCGUGGGGAGCAAACAGGAUUAGAUA
rnacentral:rRNA from 1 species